UACGUAGGGUGCAAGCGUUAUCCGGAAUUAUUGGGCGUAAAGAGCUCGUAGGCGGUUUGUCGCGUCUGCUGUGAAAAUCCGAGGCUCAACCUCGGACUUGCAGUGGGUACGGGCAGACUAGAGUGUGGUAGGGGGAGACUGGAAUUCCUGGUGUAGCGGUGGAAUGCGCAGAUAUCAGGAGGAACACCGAUGGCGAAGGCAGGUCUCUGGGCCAUUACUGACACUGAGAAGCGAAAGCAUGGGGAGCGAACAGG
rnacentral:rRNA from 1 species